GACGAACGCUGGCGGCGUGCCUAAUACAUGCAAGUAGAACGCUGAAGAGAGGAGCUUGCUCUUCUUGGAUGAGUUGCGAACGGGUGAGUAACGCGUAGGUAACCUGCCUUGUAGCGGGGGAUAACUAUUGGAAACGAUAGCUAAUACCGCAUAACAAUGGAUGACACAUGUCAUUUAUUUGAAAGGGGCAAUUGCUCCACUACAAGAUGGACCUGCGUUGUAUUAGCUAGUAGGUGAGGUAACGGCUCACCUAGGCGACGAUACAUAGCCGACCUGAGAGGGUGAUCGGCCACACUGGGACUGAGACACGGCCCAGACUCCUACGGGGGGCAGCAGUAGGGAAUCUUCGGCAAUGGGGGCAACCCUGACCGAGCAACGCCGCGUGAGUGAAGAAGGUUUUCGGAUCGUAAAGCUCUGUUGUAAGUCAAGAACGAGUGUGAGAGUGGAAAGUUCACACUGUGACGGUAGCUUACCAGAAAGGGACGGCUAACUACGUG
rnacentral:rRNA from 1 species